AGUGAACGCUGGCGGUAGGCCUAACACAUGCAAGUCGAACGGCAGCACAGGAGAGCUUGCUCUCUGGGUGGCGAGUGGCGGACGGGUGAGGAAUACAUCGGAAUCUACUUUUUCGUGGGGGAUAACGUAGGGAAACUUACGCUAAUACCGCAUACGACCUACGGGUGAAAGCAGGGGAUCUUCGGACCUUGCGCGAUUGAAUGAGCCGAUGUCGGGUUAGCUAGUUGGCGGGGUAAAGGCCCACCAAGGGGACGAUCCGUAGCUGGUCUGAGAGGAUGAUCAGCCACACUGGAACUGAGACACGGUCCAGACUCCUACGGGAGGCAGCAGUGGGGAAUAUUGGACAAUGGGCGCAAGCCUGAUCCAGCCAUACCGCGUGGGUGAGGAAGGCCUUCGGGUUGUAAAGCCCUUUUGUUGGGAAAGAAAUCCAGCUGGUUAAUACCCGGUUGGGAUGACGGUACCCAAAGAAUAAGCACCGGCUAACUUCGUGCCAGCCGCCGCCGUAA
rnacentral:rRNA from 1 species